rnacentral:rRNA from 1 species
AAUCUGCGAUAAGCGUCGGUAAGGUGAUAUGAACCGUUAUAACCGGCGAUUUCCGAAUGGGGAAACCCAGUGUGUUUCGACACACUAUCAUUAACUGAAUCCAUAGGUUAAUGAGGCGAACCGGGGGAACUGAAACAUCUAAGUACCCCGAGGAAAAGAAAUCAACCGAGAUUCCCCCAGUAGCGGCGAGCGAACGGGGAGCAGCCCAGAGCCUGAAUCAGUAUGUGUGUUAGUGGAAGCGUCUGGAAAGGCGCGCGAUACAGGGUGACAGCCCCGUACACAAAAAUGCACAUGCUGUGAGCUCGAUGAGUAGGGCGGGACACGUGGUAUCCUGUCUGAAUAUGGGGGGACCAUCCUCCAAGGCUAAAUACUCCUGACUGACCGAUAGUGAACCAGUACCGUGAGGGAAAGGCGAAAAGAACCCCGGCGAGGGGAGUGAAAAAGAACCUGAAACCGUGUACGUACAAGCAGUGGGAGCACGCUUAGGCGUGUGACUGCGUACCUUUUGUAUAAUGGGUCAGCGACUUAUAUUCUGUAGCAAGGUUAACCGAAUAGGGGAGCCGAAGGGAAACCGAGUCUUAACUGGGCGUUAAGUUGCAGGGUAUAGACCCGAAACCCGGUGAUCUAGCCAUGGGCAGGUUGAAGGUUGGGUAACACUAACUGGAGGACCGAACCGACUAAUGUUGAAAAAUUAGCGGAUGACUUGUGGCUGGGGGUGAAAGGCCAAUCAAACCGGGAGAUAGCUGGUUCUCCCCGAAAGCUAUUUAGGUAGCGCCUCGUGAAUUCAUCUCCGGGGGUAGAGCACUGUUUCGGCAAGGGGGUCAUCCCGACUUACCAACCCGAUGCAAACUGCGAAUACCGGAGAAUGUUAUCACGGGAGACACACGGCGGGUGCUAACGUCCGUCGUGAAGAGGGAAACAACCCAGACCGCCAGCUAAGGUCCCAAAGUCAUGGUUAAGUGGGAAACGAUGUGGGAAGGCCCAGACAGCCAGGAUGUUGGCUUAGAAGCAGCCAUCAUUUAAAGAAAGCGUAAUAGCUCACUGGUCGAGUCGGCCUGCGCGGAAGAUGUAACGGGGCUAAACCAUGCACCGAAGCUGCGGCAGCGACGCUGAUGCGUUGUUGGGUA